GACGAACGCUGGCGGCGUGCCUAAUACAUGCCAGUCGAACGCAGUGGGGACGGGUGAGUAACACGUGGGUAACAUCCCAUCAGAGGGGAUAACACUUGGAAAAAGGUGCUAAACCGAUACUGAUGGAUGGUACCGCGGUGCAUUAGCUCGUUGGUGAGGUAACGGCUCGCCAAGGCCACGAUGCAUAGCCGACCUGGUAGUGUGAUCGACCACUCUAGGCGUGAGACACAGCCCAGACUCCGACGUGAGGCAUCGGUAGGGAAUCUUCGGCAAUUGACGAGAGUCUGACCGAGCAACGCCACGUGAGUGAAUGAGGUUUUCUGAUCUUAAAACUCUAUUGUUAGAGAAGCGGUAUCUAACCAGAAAGCCACGGCUAACUACGUGCCAGCAGCCGCGGUAAUAC
rnacentral:rRNA from 1 species